rnacentral:rRNA from 1 species
UGAAGUGAGAAGUGAUGACGAGCGGCGGACGGCUGAGUAACGCGUGGGAACAUACCCCAAAGUGAGGGAUAACUGCCCGAAAGGGUGGCUAAUACCGCAUAUGGUCUUCGGAUUAAAGGAUUUAUCCGCUUUGGGAAUGGCCUGCGUACGAUUAGAUAGUUGGUGAGGUAAAGGCUCACCAAGUCUACGAUCGUUAACUGGUCUGAGAGGAUGAUCAGUCAGACUGGAACUGAGACACGGUCCAGACUCC